rnacentral:rRNA from 1 species
UACGGGGGGGGCAAGCGUUGUUCGGAAUUACUGGGCGUAAAGGGUGCGUAGGCGGUCUGUCGCGUCGGCUGUGAAAACCCGGGGCUCAACCCCGGGCCUGCAGUCGAUACGGGCAGACUAGAGUGCGGUAGGGGAGACUGGAAUUCCUGGUGUAGCGGUGGAAUGCGCAGAUAUCAGGAGGAACACCGGUGGCGAAGGCGGGUCUCUGGGCCGUAACUGACGCUGAGGAGCGAAAGCGUGGGGAGCGAACAGG